rnacentral:rRNA from 1 species
UACGGAGGAUCCAAGCGUUAUCCGGAAUCAUUGGGUUUAAAGGGUCCGUAGGCGGUUUGGUAAGUCAGUGGUGAAAGCCCAUCGCUCAACGGUGGAACGGCCAUUGAUACUGCCAGACUUGAAUUAUUAGGAAGUAACUAGAAUAUGUAGUGUAGCGGUGAAAUGCUUAGAGAUUACAUGGAAUACCAAUUGCGAAGGCAGGUUACUACUAAUGGAUUGACGCUGAUGGACGAAAGCGUGGGCAGCGAAACAGG